rnacentral:rRNA from 1 species
AUUGAACGCUGGCGGCAGGCCUAACACAUGCAAGUCGAACGAGUGGCGGACGGGUGAGUAAUGUCUGGGAAACUGCCUGAUGGCGGGGGAUAACUAUUGGAAACGGUAGCUAAUACCGCAUACCAUCAGAUGUGCCUAGAUGGGAUUAGCUUGUUGGUGGGGUAACGGCUAACAAAGGCGACGAUCCCUAGCUGGGAUGCGAGGAUGACCAGCCACACUGGAACUGAGGCACGGUCCAGACUCCUACGGGAGGCAGCAGUGGGAAAUAUUGCACAAGGGGCGCAAGCCGGAAGCAGCCAUGCAGCGUGUGUGAAGAAGGCGUUCGGGUUGUAAAGUACGUUCAGCUGGGAGGCGUUACCCGCAGAAGAAGCACCGGCUAACUCCGUGCCAGCCGCCGCGGUAAUAC